ACCCAACGCAACCAGAUACACCGUCGGUGCUCGGGCUCUUGUGGGUUAAAUGCUCUGACUCUUGUGGGUGGAGCCGAAACCCCAAGGACUAAUAGGGUUUGCUCCGAUCAAGAAUCGGCACACUUUCUUGUGAGAUGAAUCUGCAUGCAGGAUAUGACAAGGGAGCAUAGUCUACCAAUACGCGCAGCCAUUACGGUGUUGGGUUUUCGGGGAAUUUGUCAUGGAGAUGUGGUUUGCGUCUGAAGGUCCGUGUACGCAGGGCCCGUGAGAACUGAAGAUAGGCAGAGGAUUUUUGAUUAAUUUGGGAGAUUGCGAUUUCAGGGACCGUAUCCAGAUAUUGAAUAGAAGUUGCGGACGGUGUGAACUACUGCAGGAUUGCGUGUAAAAUUGUCGUUUCUGUUAGAGGCGUUCAGUGAGAGAGAUAAUUAAACCAGAAAAAGACGCCGCAGAAGAACUUUUCUGUACUUACUUGUGUGUGGAUUCAGUUUAGAUUUAGGUAGGGAAAUGUGAAUCAUAUGUUGUAGGUUGCGAGCAAAGUUUAGGGUUUAGUGGACUCUCUGUGACUGACGGGGUUUUUCCUUACUGGGAACAGAUUGAACUUCCAGCGAUGGCGGAGCCUAAAUUGAAACUUCUAAAUUUCGUUUCUGCCACUCAGGUAUCAAUUUGUUGCACUCUGUGUUACAUAAUCCCAGUCAGUAGUCAUCAAAAACGUAUUCAUGUCCGUUGAGCUUCGCAGACUGAUGCCGAGAAUGAGAGCGCUUCAGACACCAAGCCUUUGGAAAUAAUCGACAACCGACCUUUGUACGAGAUAUUGAAGGAGAACUCGGAUAAGAAAGAAGCUGAGUUUAACGAGCGCUUUAAGCACAGACCGCCGAAGGCGCUUGACGAAGAUGAGACUGAGUUUUUAGAUGCUGUGGAGACGGUGAGCAUGGCUACUUGUGACGGGGACCUGGUAUAGAAAGCAACAGGAGCAGGAGGCUGCUGAUGCUGAGGCACGGGAACUGACAAAUUUUCAUAAUUUGAUUGCUAAUAGGACUAUCACCACAGAAGAAGUCAAGGCUUCAACCAUUGGUACUCUAAAACCAGAUACACAGAAGCCUUCGUUGACUGGUAAAAGACCGCAGCCCAAGUCUGCUUUGCCCAUUGCUAUAAAGAUUAAGUCUCAGUCAAAAAAGGCAAGAAUUGAAUCGCCUCCUACCCUCACCGAAAAGGAGCUGAAUGAUUCAACAGCUGAGAAUGCAGGAGAGAGAAACUGCCUUGGACUCGUGGCGUACAGUGACGAAAGUGGUGACGAGUAGAAAAGUCUUAGUUGUUCUCGGAGACAGCAAUGUUUGCUACAGCUGAUUUGUCCUGCUAGCUUAGAUAGUAUGUUGAGUCUUCAUUGCAAAGAUUUCGCGAUUUUGCACGGAUGUACGUCAGCUCAUAUUAAAUCCCGCCUCGUACCAAGUUGUGUUGAGCGUCUUAGCUGUUUGGAAAUGUCUGGGUGGAUGGAAUACUACUUUUACCAUCAUGGAGAAUUUUUUUUUGUUGAAUACCAAGCUGAGAAGCAAGUGCAUGUUUCA